rnacentral:rRNA from 1 species
CCUACGGGGGGCAGCAGUGAGGAAUAUUGGUCAAUGGACGAGAGUCUGAACCAGCCAAGUAGCGUGAAGGAUGACUGCCCUAUGGGUUGUAAACUUCUUUUAUAUGGGAAUAAAACGUUCCACGUGUGGGAUUUUGUAUGUACCAUAUGAAUAAGGAUCGGCUAACUCCGUGCCAGCAGCCGCGGUAAUACGGAGGAUCCGAGCGUUAUCCGGGUUUAUUGGGUUUAAAGGUAGCGUAGGUGGAUUGUUAAGUCAGUUGUGAAAGUUUGCGGCUCAACCGUAAAAUUGCAGUUGACACUGGCAGUCUUGAGUACAGUAGAGGUGGGCGGAAUUCGUGGUGUAGCGGUGAAAUGCUUAGAUAUCACGAAGAACUCCGAUUGCGAAGGCAGUUCACUGGACUGCAACUGACACUGAGGCUCGAAAGUGUGGGUAUCAAACAGGAUUAGAUACCCUUGUAGUC